rnacentral:rRNA from 1 species
UUGAACGCUGGCGGCAGGCCUAACACAUGCAAGUCGAGCGGAUGAAGGGAGCUUGCUCCUGGAUUCAGCGGCGGACGGGUGAGUAAUGCCUAGGAAUCUGCCUGGUAGUGGGGGAUAACGUCCGGAAACGGGCGCUAAUACCGCAUACGUCCUGAGGGAGAAAGUGGGGGAUCUUCGGACCUCACGCUAUCAGAUGAGCCUAGGUCGGAUUAGCUAGUUGGUGGGGUAAAGGCCUACCAAGGCGACGAUCCGUAACUGGUCCGAGAGGAUGAUCAGUCACACUGGAACUGAGACACGGUCCAGACUCCUACGGGAGGCAGCAGUGGGGAAUAUUGGACAAUGGGCGAAAGCCUGAUCCAGCCAUGCCGCGUGUGUGAAGAAGGUCUUCGGAUUGUAAAGCACUUUAAGUUGGGAGGAAGGGCAGUAAGUUAAUACCUUGCUGUUUUGACGUUACCAACAGAAUAAGCACCGGCUAACUUCGUG